AGUGAACGCUGGCGGUAGGCCUAACACAUGCAAGUCGAACGGCAGCACAGUAAGAGCUUGCUCUUACGGGUGGCGAGUGGCGGACGGGUGAGGAAUACAUCGGAAUCUACUUUUUCGUGGGGGAUAACGUAGGGAAACUUACGCUAAUACCGCAUACGACCUACGGGUGAAAGCAGGGGAUCUUCGGGCCUUGCGCGAUUGAAUGAGCCGAUGUCGGAUUAGCUAGUUGGCGGGGUAAAGGCCCACCAAGGCGACGAUCCGUAGCUGGUCUGAGAGGAUGAUCAGCCACACUGGAACUGAGACACGGUCCAGACUCCUACGGGAGGCAGCAGUGGGGAAUAUUGGACAAUGGGCGCAAGCCUGAUCCAGCCAUACCGCGUGGGUGAAGAAGGCCUUCGGGUUGUAAAGCCCUUUUGUUGGGAAAGAAAAGCAGCAGGUUAAUACCCCGCUGUUCUGACGGUACCCAAAGAAUAAGCACCAGCUAACUUCGUG
rnacentral:rRNA from 1 species